rnacentral:rRNA from 1 species
UCAGGCCUAACACAUGCAAGUCGAACGGUAACGCGGGGGCAACCCUGGCGACGAGUGGCGAACGGGUGAGUAAUGCAUCGGAACGUGCCUAGUAGUGGGGGAUAGCCCGGCGAAAGCCGGAUUAAUACCGCAUACGCACUAUGGUGGAAAGCGGGGGACCGUAAGGCCUCGCGCUAUUAGAGCGGCCGAUGUCGGAUUAGCUAGUUGGUGAGGUAAAGGCUCACCAAGGCGACGAUCCGUAGCUGGUCUGAGAGGACGACCAGCCACACUGGGACUGAGACACGGCCCAGACUCCUACGGGAGGCAGCAGUGGGGAAUUUUGGACAAUGGGGGAAACCCUGAUCCAGCCAUGCCGCGUGUGUGAAGAAGGCCUUCGGGUUGUAAAGCAAUUGGGCGGGAACGAAACGGCGU